UUGUACAGCAUGUGAUGUAUGGUGAAUGUUUUCACUGAAGUGCAGACUGGUAUCAAAACAAGAUUUUUAUUUUUGUAUUCUUCUAUGAAGCAGGAUAAAAAAGCAAUAAAGUUUGGAUUAACGAAACGAAACUUUUGAUGAAAUUAACCCAAUUUCUGUUAUAGAGGCGUUUUGUUCGUCUGCUAUUAUUAUAAGACGCUGAUGUACACAAAAAGAUGAUGAAAUGUAGUUAACGUAAAAAUGUAUGAUAUCUUAUCACGUCAGUUGUUAUCGGCGGUUACUUCAAAGCGAACUUCUCGCUUAAAGGCAUGCUUCAAUCAUUGUUUUGGUUGAUAAAUAUUGCACUGAGUACAUCAUAACAAUCUUGUUAUUUUGUUUCGUGAAAGCGGCUCUGCGCAUGCGUAAUCAGCUCAUGAAUAAUGCAUUAUUUAAGGAGAACUAAAUAAAAUAGUACGUGUGAUGCGCGCUGACAGCUUUAUUUCUAUAGUUACUAAUGAACAGUGUUGACUUUUUAUUUGAAACAAAAAAAUGAUUUCGCAAAAAUAUGUUUUAAUUGUUGUGGUACUUUUAUGUAUAAGUGAGGUAGCUAAGUGCAUAUUGGUAGACUGCCCUCAUAUAAGACAUACACAUGUUAGAAACAGAAGAUUUGCAUCUUGCAUGAGGAAUAUACAUGGAAUUGUCCGAUUUUUGUGCUCCAUUCGAAAUCAAGGUGGACAUGUUCGUCGAUUAUCCCAACCUGAGAUUCAGCGACAUUUAUAUUGUGAGUGCUGUGCUACAAGAUGCGACCGGCAAGAACUCCUGAGCCUAUGCUAAAUCAUAAACAAUUUGACCAGCCCUUAUGCUCGAACUUCAUACCGUCUUACGUGUCACACAGUUACAAUGUUACCAUUGGAGUUAUUCUGGACCUUUACAACAUCUGCAUCCUGAUGUAAUCUUAAAAAGUCAUUUCUGGUUUAUACUUGUGUAAUAUUGAUUUUGAAUACCUGUAUUACAUAUCAAGACCUAAUUUAACUUAAACCUUUCUAAGACGAUGAGUGUGACGUCAGUAUAUAUCUCAUUACUUAGAACUUUAAAGCCUAAGGGCGUAUCUCUAUUCCUGCAAACUAAUAACUACUAUAAGGGCGAUUUGCGAGAAUUAGAACGGCGGAAUAUAAAUUUCUAAUCUUAAUACUUAAUGGUAAUGAUGUUGUUUUGCUGCACUAAUUGACAUUUAAAGAUCAAAUUAUCAUUGCAUUGCAGCAACUUUGCUUUAAUGAUAUUUCAUCUUGUUUGUGUUGUCCCUUGCAUAAACAAAUGUUGACAAAAUCAGUUUAGACGGACUAUUAUUAGUUCAUAAAUAGCUAUCGAAUUUAGAUUUGUUUCCGUUUCCUUGCUAUUUUUUCUCUUGCAAAAGUGUAUUUUGUUCAACAAAGGAGAAGAAACACCAGUUAAACCCGUAGUAAAAUCCCACUCUACAGUAUUUUAUUUGCUAUUCAUAUAUUAGCAAUGAAUACUCUGUGUGCAAAACAUUAUAUCCUCUGGAUAACGGUCACCUGCACACAAAGACUACAACACCUAUCUCGAAACAGACAGGGUUUUUUUGGGCAGAGUAUGUCAAUUUAAGGUUGUCGAUCAAUUAAUUUGGUACAGAAGAAAAUAAAUAAGAAAAAACGUAAGAUCUGUAAGGGCAUAUAUUAAAUCUGUUUUAGUGCUACAUUAAAAGUGCUCCAAACUAAUUCUGUGAUAAAUAAAAUAUGAAGGCCCCCGCUGAAUCUUUAUGUUACUUCAUGAAGUAGUUCUUUGACAGUACUUUUGUUGUUAUUUAUAAGUCUACUUGACAAUAACUGAUCCUAGUUUAUAACUGUUAAUAAAACAUGAAGAAAAAAAGUAAUUUGAAUAAAAGGAAAUCCAAAACUUG